CAGUAGCCGCGGUAACACGUAGGGAGCAAGCGUUGUUCGGAUUUACUGGGCGUAAAGGGCGCGUAGGCGGCGCGGUAAGUCACUUGUGAAAUCUCUGAGCUUAACUCAGAACGGCCAAGUGAUACUGCUGUGCUAGAGUGCGGAAGAGGCAACCGGAAUUCUUGGUGUAGCGGUGAAAUGCGUAGAUAUCAAGAGGAACACCUGAGGCGAAGGCGGGUUGCUGGGCCGACACUGACGCUGAUGCGCGAAAGCCGGGGGAGCAAACGGGAUUAGAUACCCCUGUAGUCCCUGUCUCUUAUAC
rnacentral:rRNA from 1 species